UUCGUUUUUCGUUUUUCGUUCGUUUGUUUACAAGUUCCCACUAUCAGUUGCGUCCGUUUAUGUAACACAUGCCCCGAGAUAUCUCAACUAUAUUAACAGAAACCGUACACAAUCCCGGAUCUCGAAUCCCAAAUCCCAGAUGCCAGGUGCCAGAUCCCAGCGCAUGGUUAGAUCAGAGGUUGCUUUCCGAAAUCGGGAUGACGAUUCGUAAACACGAAUGUAGCUUGCUCGUGUCUAUAAUUUCAUUUAAUUUUCCCAUUUUGCGCACUUCUAAUACGUUCGAUACGGUCACCAUCCUCAUCGAGAAUUCACUUUUCUUUGCGGAAAAUAUCUCGCGUUUCGU